UACUGAAAGUCAGUGAUUCCCAAACUUUUUCGGUCCACCGCCCCCUUGGUGCUACAAACUCAUCCUCAGUGCCCCCCACCCAGUGGUGGGAUUCAAAUUUCUGUGGGCGUGGCCUAUUUUAAGGGUGUGACUUGCUGGUCAUGUGUCUGGAUGGGUGUGUCUUGCUGGUCAUGUGACUGGGUAGGCGUGGCCAGGU